GACGUAGGGCGCGAGCGUUGUCCGGAUUUAUUGGGCGUAAAGAGCUCGUAGGCGGUCUGUUAUGUCGGAUGUGAAAGCCCUUGGCUCAACUGAGGAAGUGCAUCCGAAACUGGCAGGCUAGAGUACGUAAGAGGGUCGCGGAAUUCCCGGUGUAGAGGUGAAAUUCGUAGAUAUCGGGAGGAACACCGGUGGCGAAGGCGGCGACCUGGGACGAUACUG
rnacentral:rRNA from 1 species